ACAAACACCCGCAACCCGACCCAACCCGCAAAAACCGAAAGAAAAAAAAGGAAUUGGGCGGGUUUAGACGGUCCAACGGGUUCACCGGGUGAUGAAACCGGGUUCAGUCGGAUUUAAAUGGGCGGGUCCGGGUGGUAAAGACUGAACCGCAGGUACCCUGACCCGCCCAAAUCACACAGAUGCUAAACAAUAGUUGGAUUUUGUACUUGGGUUACUACUCCCUCAACCCUCUUCUCUCUCAUUCACUAUCGUUCAGUAUUUCUCUCACCACAACUUGAAGAAACCCUAGCAGCUCCUCUCCACUCACCGCUCAUCGUCAUUCAUCACCACCACAACUCCACCCAAAAGAACAUCGGCCCACCACCAUUAACUCCACCUCGGCGAACACCACCACCACCACUCUCAUCUCUUUUUUUCACUGACUUUCACGACGAGCAACAACAUUUGAACUUGUGGUCUGAUCUUCUUUCUUCUAUUGUUUGACUUUCGGUUGCAAGGUAAAGAUUAAGGUUAUUUGGACAAAUGGUUAUUUCAACAAAAGUAAAUGGUUAUUUGUGACACUGAUGUGUUUAUUUGGGUAUAUGGAGCAUGGAAACAGUAGCAGUCAAAGAACUCAAAGAAUCAUAGAGCAAGAUCCACUAAAUUAUGGAUCAACGUCAAAGUAGCAUGGAAAGAGUCUUAGAGUAAGAGCAAUGAAAUUAUCUCUCUUUUUGUCUCUGGAACAAUACAUAAUUGGUUUUCCAAUUAUUGCUGCAAAGGUUUUUUAUUUCAUUUCCUUCAUGUUUUCUUGUUUUAGAUUCUCAUUCUGUAGUUCCUUGGUUUGUGUUUGUCUUUUUCCUUCAUAGUUUCUCAAUGCUGUCAACCGCGACAAGCCGUAAAGAUGAAUAAACAAUAUCUUGAAAAUUUGGCGUUAAAGAUCAAUGUUAAGUCUGGAGGCCGUAACACGGUGUUGAAUGAUGCCUUUGAGAAAAGAAUUCCUCUAGUAACUGAUAUGCCAACAAUAAUAUUUGGUGUUGAUGUAACACAUCCUCAACCGGGAGAAGACUUGAGUCCCUCUAUAGCUGCAGUGGUGGCAUCAAUGGACUGGCCUUGGGUCACAAGAUACAGAGGAAUUGUUUCUGCCCAGGUUCACCGCGAGGAGAUAAUUCAAGAUCUCUUUAAAGUAAUAGAGGAUCCUCAGAAGGGAAAGCGGCCUGCUGGAAUGAUAAGGGAGUUGCUUGUGGCCUUCUUUAAAUCUACUAUGUAAGCCAAAGAGGAUUAUAUUUUACAGAGAUGGGGUAAGUGAGGGCCAGUUCAGUCAGGUUUUGCUUUACGAGAUGGAUGCAAUUCGGAAGGGGACUAGUUGACCAACGCAUUAUCAUGUGCUGUAUGAUGAAAAUAAAUUCACUGCAGACCAAUGUCGAAGUAGCAUGGAAAGAGUCUUAGAGCAAGAGCAAUGUAGUUAUCCAAUGCCUUACUUUAGAAUUCAAUAAAAUUAAGAGCAAUUGAUGCAUAAAUAUCAGAUUGAAGAGAGGCAACCUCUAAUAUCAAAUUUGAAGGUCUUCAUUCAAAAUUUAUAAAAUUGUUAGCAAGUCAAUAUUUGACUUUAAUUUAUGUGAUUUAUUUUUUAUUUGUAUUGGUCAAUUAAUGUUGAAAAUUUGUAUGAUUUAAAAUGAUAUGUAUAUUUUUUUAGAUUUAGGUCAAUUUAUUAAAUUUAUAAUUUAAAUUGUGACAAAAAAUAGAAAUAUGCAAUUUAAUUGUA